rnacentral:rRNA from 1 species
ACGGGUGAGUAACACGUGGGUAACCUGCCCAUCAGAAGGGGAUAACACUUGGAAACAGGUGCUAAUACCGUAUAACACUAUUUUCCGCAUGGAAGAAAGUUGAAAGGCGCUUUUGCGUCACUGAUGGAUGGACCCGCGGUGCAUUAGCUAGUUGGUGAGGUAACGGCUCACCAAGGCCACGAUGCAUAGCCGACCUGAGAGGGUGAUCGGCCACACUGGGACUGAGACACGGCCCAGACUCCUACGGGAGGCAGCAGUAGGGAAUCUUCGGCAAUGGACGAAAGUCUGACCGAGCAACGCCGCGUGAGUGAAGAAGGUUUUCGGAUCGUAAAACUCUGUUGUUAGAGAAGAACAAGGAUGAGAGUAAAAUGUUCAUCCCUUGACGGUAUCUAACCAGAAAGCCACGGCUAACUACGUGCCAGCAGCCGCGGUAAUACGUAGGUGGCAAGCGUUGUCCGGAUUUAUUGGGCGUAAAGCGAGCGCAGGCGGUUUCUUAAGUCUGAUGUGAAAGCCCCCGGCUCAACCGGGGAGGGUCAUUGGAAACUGGGAGACUUGAGUGCAGAAGAGGAGAGUGGAAUUCCAUGUGUAGCGGUGAAAUGCGUAGAUAUAUGGAGGAACACCAGUGGUGAAGGCGGCUCUCUGGUCUGUAACUGACGCUGAGGCUCGAAAGCGUGGGGAGCGAACAGGAUUAGAUACCCUGGUAGUCCACGCCGUAAACGAUGAGUGCUAAGUGUUGGAGGGUUUCCGCCCUUCAGUGCUGCAGCAAACG